rnacentral:rRNA from 1 species
GACGAACGCUGGCGGCGUGCUUAACACAUGCAAGUCGAACGGAAAGGCCCUGCUUUUGUGGGGUGCUCGAGUGGCGAACGGGUGAGUAACACGUGAGUAACCUGCCCUUGACUUUGGGAUAACUUCAGGAAACUGGGGCUAAUACCGGAUAGGAGCUCCUGCUGCAUGGUGGGGGUUGGAAAGUUUCGGCGGUUGGGGAUGGACUCGCGGCUCAUCCGCUUGUUGGUUGGGUAGUGGCUUACCAAGGCUUUGACGGGUAGCCGGCCUGAGAGGGUGACCGGCCACAUUGGGACUGAGAUACGGCCCAGACUCCUACGGGAGGCAGCAGUGGGGAAUAGUGCACAAUGGGAGGAAGCCUGAUGCAGCAACGCCGCGUGCGGGAUGACGGCCUUCGGGUUGUAAACCGCUUUCGCCUGUGACGAAGCGUGAGUGACGGUAAUGGGUAAAGAAGCACCGGCUAACUACGUG